UGCGAGGUGAAGCCGGCAACAGCUCACAUUGAUAUUGGCUUCGCGGCCGAGUUGUAAUUUGUAGAAGGUGCUUCGGGCGCGACCCAGGUCCAAGUCCCUUGGAACAGGGCGUCCCAGAGGGUGAGAAUCCCGUACGCGGCCGACGGUCCAGCCCGUGCGAAGCCCUUUCGACGAGUCGAGUUGUUUGGGAAUGCAGCUCCAAAUGGGUGGUAAAUUUCAUCUAAAGCUAAAUAUCUGCCGGAGACCGAUAGCGCACAAGUAGAGUGAUCGAAAGAUGAAAAGAACUUUGAAAAGAGAGUUAAACAGUACGUGAAAUUGUUAAAAGGGAAGCGCUUGCAACCAGACUCGCCCGCGAGUGUUCAGCCGUCCCCCGGGCGGUGCAUUCUCUCGCGGGCGGGCCAGCAUCGGUUUCGGCGGCUGGAUAAAGGCGUGGGGAACGUAGCUUUCUUCGGGAAGUGUUAAGCCCCUAGCAGAAUACGGCCAGCCGGGACCGAGGACCGCGCAUUCGCAAGGAUGCUGGCGUAAUGGUUGUCAGCGACCCGUCUUGAAACACGGACCAAGGAGUCGACCAACUGAGCAAGUGUUUGGGUGUAAAACCCCGGCGCGAAAUUAACGUGAACGGAGGUGAGAGCCCUCGGGCGCAUCAUCGACCGAUCCUGAUGUUUUCGGAUGGAUUUGAGUACGAGCUUGGCUGGUCGGACCCGAAAGGUAUGCUCGACACGAAACCGAUCCGAAGCUUGGCUAAUUUUUCUAGAUGGUGAACUAUACGUGAAUAGGGUGAAGCCAGAGGAAACUCUGGUGGAGGCUCGCAGCGGUUCUGACGUGCAAAUCGAUCGUCAAAUUUGCGUAUAGGGGCGAAAGGUACUUGCGUUCCUCUGAUUCGUUUAAUAUCGUAUCAGCUAACUUUAUUACAGACUAAUCGAACCAUCUAGUAGCUGGUUCCUGUCGAAGUUUCCCUCAGGAUAGCAGCAACGGGAAAUAGUCUCAUGAGGUAGAGCGAACGAUUAGAGGCCUUGGGGCUGUAACAGCCUUAACCUAUUCUCGAACUUCGAAUAUGUGAGAAGUCCCUGUUACUUAAUUGAACGGGGACAUUGGAUAUGCCGGCUUGUU
rnacentral:rRNA from 1 species